rnacentral:lncRNA from 1 species
AGCACUUUCAUUCAUCUGAUUAUACCUUUAAAACAGUAAAAAUUUUAAAAAACAGAGCGAGAAAAAAGAUACUUGCAAAAACAUAUUCCAAUGAAGGAUUGUAUCUAGAAAAUCUAAAGAAUUGCAAGUCAAGAGAACAUAACUAACAACCUAAUAAAUAGUAGAUAAAAAGUGUACACAGUCACUUUAUAAACCCAAGUGUCUUAAUGCCAAUAAAGGUAAGAUGGUCAGCAUAAUUGCUAUCAAAAAUGUAAAUUAACCCUUAAUAAAAGAUCACCAAAUACCACCAAGAUGGUUAAGAUUGUUAAAAAAGUGACUAUGUCAAAUGUUGACCAGGAUGGACAGCACUGGGAACAUCUCACAUAUUGCUGCAGGGAAGGUAAAUGAGUUAAAUUCCUUCAGAAAAAACCACUGGACAUGAUUUACCCAACCACUCUCUCCUAAAGAUGUGUAUGAUCAUCUAAGACUAUAAAAUAACCUUUGCAUCUAUCAAUGGCAGAGUGGGUAGGUAAAUCAUGGCAUCUCCACACAAAAUAUGAAAGCCCUUAAAUGUCAUGGGAGGGAAUUGGAAAUCCCAAGUUUUCAAUUUUGUCCCAGGAAGUCUGUGAGUAUUUUAACAAAAUUAGCAUGGAUACAUGAAAAUAGAUCUGCAAUCAUAAUCUAUAGUUUCUACAUCCUUUAGAUACAUUUUCAUAUAUAUGUAUAUUUACACAUAUUAAAUGCAUAUAUUUUCUAAUUCUAUAAUUAUUCGCCUAUUAAUUUUUUCAAAAGAAUAGAACUCUAAAGGCAUGGCAUUCAUUUCAAAAGUUACCAUGAAUGGCUUAUUUGCUGCUCAGUUUAAGUUUUUAUAGGUGUCCCACAUCUGGGAUGAAGGAGCCUAACCAGUUAGUGGACACUGUUUAAAAGUUGUGAUUAGCAGAGCAAGAAAAACAGAAGAGGGUUUUAAGAAGUCACAUCAGAUAAUGUUCUGCAGAAAUGUGCUCCCAUUUGGAUACGUUUUUUUUCUUUUCAAGAGGUUCAUGUUGAUAACUCUUCAUAAUAGAUUACUUGGAGUCAUUAAAUGUUAUUUUAAAAUAGUCCCCCCACCCCAGAAUGUUUUCAUGUUGAGAUUCUGUUAUUAUUUUAAAAUAGUUUUUCCCCCACACAAUGUUUUCAUGUUGAAAUUCUUUACACAUUGAAAAAAAUCACACCUAACCACUUAUUGUAUACUCUAAAUGUCACCUAUUGAACUCCUUGUUUCUCGAAAAAAAUUUCAUUGCUUAAUAUAUCAAUAGUACAUUUAUUUUUGAAAAGUGGACAGAAGUGAAUUUAUCUGCCUGUAUUUUCUCUGCCUG